rnacentral:rRNA from 1 species
CUACGGGUCGCUGCAGUGGGGAAUAUUGGACAAUGGGGGCAACCCUGAUCCAGCCAUGCCGCGUGUGUGAAGAAGGCCUUUUGGUUGUAAAGCACUUUAAGCAGGGAGGAGAGGCUAAUGGUUAAUACCCAUUAGAUUAGACGUUACCUGCAGAAUAAGCACCGGCUAACUCUGUGCCAGCAGCCGCGGUAAUACAGAGGGUGCGAGCGUUAAUCGGAAUUACUGGGCGUGAAGCGAGUGUAGGUGGCUCAUUAAGUCACAUGUGAAAUCCCCGGGCUUAACCUGGGAACUGCAUGUGAUACUGGUGGUGCUAGAAUAUGUGAGAGGGAAGUAGAAUCCCAGGUGUAGCGGUGAAAUGCGUAGAGAUCUGGAGGAAUACCGAUGGCGAAGGCAGCUUCCUGGCAUAAUAUUGACACUGAGAUUCGAAAGCGUGGGUAGCAAACAGGAUUAGAUACCCCCGUAGUC